rnacentral:rRNA from 1 species
CGUAGGUGGCAAGCGUUGUCCGGAUUUAUUGGGUUUAAAGGGUGCGUAGGCGGCCCUGUAAGUCAGUGCUGAAAUCCCCCGGCUUAACCGGGGUGGUGGCAUUGAUACUGCAGGGCUUGAGUACAGAUGAGGUAGGCGGAAUUGACGGUGUAGCGGUGAAAUGCAUAGAUAUCGUCAAGAACACCGAUAGCGAAGGCAGCUUACUGGGCUGUAACUGACGCUGAUGCACGAAAGUGUGGGGAUCAAACAGGAUUAGAUACCCUGGUAGUCCACACUGUAAACGUUGAUUACUCGCUGUUUGCGAUACACAGCAAGCGGCUUAGCGAAAGCGAUAAGUAAUCCACCUGGGGAGUACGCCGGCAACGGUG